CGCGGCGCCGGCGGCUACGUGCCCAGCGACUCCGUCUUCAUGGCCCGGCGUGGCCGUCAGGCGAGGAUAACCUGUGGCCAAGGCCGGAAACUUCUGGAUGAAGAUGGAGCAUACCGGUCCUGAGGGCUCACAGCGGUCAGCCUCCUGGAUCACUCCCCCAUGCCCUUGGCCCAAAGUCAUGGGUCCACGUUCCUUCCUCUAGUUGAGUCACUGACUGGAACGUGCCUGAUGUCUCCACAGGAGGCCAGUGUCCUCCAGAGAUGGAGGCUGCCCCAGGCUACCCUGAGGGGGCGAUGGUUUUCCUUCAGCAUCUCCUGUGAGGCACCCUUUGGAAGGGCCAAGGAUGGAGCUCGAUUCUCGAUCUGUCUGUCAUAUUGCUUGUGGGAGGUGGCCGACUUCUCUCACUGCCAAUAAAGAAACGUGAGGGCACAGUA